rnacentral:rRNA from 1 species
GUGUUCGAGCCGCGCCGCCGACGAUACAAUAAAGUCUCUCCGCGUGGCGCCACCGCUAAGGGGCGGCCGCUCUACAGCUGGUUGCCGGAGCUGGAGCUGCCCUGCUCCCCUCGUGUGUAGCGGCCUACCUUAACAUGACACAAGGGUCACUUUAGGGUCCUAAGGUACUCACGCGGCCGAGAUCUCUGCCUCUUCCGGCCGCUUCGAGUCCUUCGACCUCUACCCGUCUCUAUGCUCCACACGACACACGAGACUUCGAUGAUCGCCGACCUGUUGCUCCAUUCUAAAAGACAAAGGAGAGUACGAACUAAGCGUCGACUAUUUGAAUCUUGACGAAGAGGGUACUACGCACAUGUAGUUUCACUAUCCACACACACUUCUAGUUAUCCCCAUCAAGUCCAAUCCUAAACACGACGAGACCGAUGCAUAAAAAACUCCACGACUUCUAAUUCGUAUUAUAAUCAACUAACUACAAUCCAUUAGAAAGUAAUAGACGCGAUCCACCUAAUGCUAUGUUCACGUAUACUAACCUCACCGAACAGCUAAAAGACAGAUUGAAGAGCAAGUGACUUCACCCGGCAAUCCCCACGACCAUUUGUUCCUUUUGUACAAGUCUAAUGAGCAAAGUCUAAACACACAACGUUUUUAUACCCAAUGGAGGUCAAUGGAGAUCACCAUUUAAGCCAAUCGAUCGUUCUUUGAUACGUCGUGGAAUACCCUGUCACACCUUACCGACAAAAUAACAUAGUCAACAGACUCCAAAACCAGACUACCACCCACACUAAACAGAACACCGGUGUUCUUGACAAUAAAAAACCUUAAUCGUGCUACGAUAUUUGCACCUCAUUAAAUAUAUACAAGACAAAAAAGCCUCGGCCUACUACAAUAAAACAUCUACCAUAACAACCCUCUGCCUUCUAAAUUAAUAUAUACCAUGACUUUUGACAUAUCAACUAUCGAGUUACGAACGGAACCUAAAUAUCCGCUUUUCUUUUGUUUUUGAGAAAAACGGAAAAAAAUAUAUCAACACAUUAAUUCGCACAACCGGUCUCCUUACAAACAAGUAAAUCUAGAUAUAAACGUAGCGAGCACAGGAGCCUUUUUUUAGAUUAGUAAACCACAACAGACAACGCUCUGUGACGAUAUCCCACUCCGAACCGUUUCGUGGACUGCUUUACAGCUGUCUGCUGGAGCUCGAGCUGCCCUCCCCCCCUUACCCGUCUCUAUGCUCCACACGAGACUUCGAUGAGCGCCGACCUGUUCCUCCAUUCUAAAAAACAAAGGAGAGUACGAACUAAGCGUCGACAAUUCGAAUUUGACGAAGAGGGUACUAACCACAUGUAGGUUCACUAUCCAACACCCUUCUAGUUAUCCCUAUCAAGUACAAGCCUACACACGACCAAACCGAUGUAAAAACCUCAACCUUUCACAACUUCAAAUUCGUCUUGUAAUCAACUAACUACAACCCAUUAGAAAGUAAGAGACGCGAUCCACCUAAUACUAUGUUUUCACCUAUACUAACCUCACCGAACGGCUAAAGACAGAUUGAAGAGCAAGUUACAGAAUGAAAAGACAAAAAAAAAUAGACGGCCGAGGCUCAACACCUACGUCUUGUAUAGCGGAACCGGGCAGGCCACCUCAACGUCCGAAGAGAAGCGUAGCGGCCACCCCUUCGGCACGGUUCCUUGGUCCGUAAACUUUUUUAACGUCUAAACAAGAUGCCCGGUUCUUUUUUAACACACAUCUAAAACGGACGUUCAUAACUAAGAGUACAGUCAAUACACUUACGUAGAACCUGACAAAGUUAAGUACAUACACGACGGUACUGACUUACACAUACAAGAAAAAAAAAAGACAACAAAGGUCGACAAUUACCCGAACUGGCUUACCUAAACGUCAACAGUAAACAAAACUAGUCAUCACACAGUAACAAACAAGGAUCAAAACCCUUAAGACGAAGUAUUCAUUGAGAUGACUGUAAAAAGACUUCUUGUGGCGUACUUCACACAAGUACGGAAAAAAUACUAAUUUACUAUUCGAUUGAAAUCGGUCAAAAGACCACUAAUUAUACAAUUAAAGCCAUCUAUUGAUUCGACACACCUCUUUAUUUAUAGGAGGAAACGGUUGAAGAACAUUUAAUUUAAUCAACAUUUUGAGUACACUGGGUUACAUAAGUACUAUGCGAACGCACUAGUAACUUGGUACAGUACAAUAAACCGUAUCACCCUGAAGCUUAAAACUACUUUGAGUAACAAAGGUACUGAACAACCAACUGACCAGAUAAGGUCAAGUCAUGAGACAAACAGUUCCUCCUAUUUACUUAUUUUAAAACAAGGACUAGUCUUGGUACAACUAUACCUGACACAGGACUUGGGACUACAUCUUCCACAAAUUAGGCUACGUUAAAGGAUAACAACGCUAGGAUAUCAUAACGGAAGACCGGUUAAGUCGUUAAAGGGACCAACUUCGACGAGUUCGAGACAAAGAAACCAACAACAAGGGACAGUCGCUAGGUAAACUGAGUGAUCUCGCAUACAAACAUUAAUAAUAUUUCCUAAACAUGGCAAACACUUGGUAUAGUUUAAUGAUUCAACCCACUACCCAUAAGGUUAAUACCAACGAUCAAGACAUACAUCUUGUACUAGACACAUAAUCAGUUUUGGUCGUGUACGACACACAAUCGAAUUCAAUAAAACAGUUUUACACAGCUAAAAAUUCCGUCAAUAUCAUUAUUACCAAACACAACAGAGUAGUCCCACUCUCACGCUUUUCAUAUAGACCUCUUAAACCUCUCCCUCGGGAUUGACUUUUCCACGAGAGCUUGACAGGUACUCCCAUAAGCAACCGUUCUGCUGGAUUGACGUUCGACCAACCAUUUCUCCCGAACUCACCCAUUAAUUUUUAUACUGAACCGACAGUUACAUUCAGUCAGCUAUAGAGUUAGUAAAAAGCUCAAACUAAGUCAACACAAGACGUGCGAUUAGAGAUACGUUUUAGUUUAUGUACACAUAGGACGUAUACCACUACCAUGUAACUUUAAUCCUCCAAUAAUUCAC